CCUGGUCACAAUGUUCAGAUCAAAAUCGUUUCCGUAAACCAUGAAGUACAUAUUAAUCCUCGAUGUAUCAGCAGUUGCUGUCGCCUUGGUGUGGAGCGAAUCAUGACACUUAACACAACACUGCACUGCAUCAACCAAGAGUGCACCAACACGCAUGCAUCAUGUAUUCAGGUUACUUCCGGUCAAGUCUUUUGUUCGUAUGAAGGCCACUGGCCCAUAUACAGCCCUGGUUGAUGCCGAGGGAUGCCAAGGCCAUGAUACCAGCACCUGCAGGCAUGAAAGCUGCGACGCCCUCUCGACCUUGACUUGUGUGAGGGGAACCUGCACGUGCCUGGUGUCCAGCUGUGGAACCCAUCCAGAGGGAUGCCAUACCUCCGCAAAUCACUGCAGACACUAUGCUAACCAACAUAACUGCCCAUGUGACCACUCCUGGCACUGCAUCGACAGCAGUUGCCAGUGCGGGUAUCCCGGGUAACGUUUCUGUCGACCUACCUAUCCAUCAAUCAUCCAUUUAUCCAUCAUCCAUCCCCCACCAACCAUACAUCUGUCCAUCCAACUUUCCAUCGUCCAUCCAUCAAACCGAUCACCAACUCCCUUGAUCAUCAAUGAUGUAUCUGUCCAUCCCUCACCCGUUCCAACAUCCAUCCAUCCGUCCAUCUACCCACCUACCCAUCCAUCUGUCCAUCCAUAACCCUUUCCAACAUCCAUCCAUCCGUCCUUCUACCCACCUACCCAUCCAUCUGUCCAUCCAUCACCCGUUCCAACAUCCAUCCAUCCGUCCUUCUACCUACCUACCCAUCCAUCGGUCAAUCCAUCACCCGUUCCAACAUCCAUCCAUCCGUUCAUCUACCCACCUACCCAUCCAUCUGUCCAUCCAUCACCCAUUCCCACAUCCUUCAACUGAUCGAUCCAUCCACCAUCCUCCCAUCCAUCCAUCAUCAACUAUUCCCAACCAUUCAUCCGUCCAUCUACCCACACACUCAUCUGUCCAUCCUCCAAUCCAUGCAUCAUCAUCAUCAUCAUCAUCAUCAUUCGGGGCGAUCGGGAACCCUAGUGGUUAAAGCGUUCACUCGUCAUGCCGAAGACCCGGGUUCAAUUCCCGACAUGAGUACAAUGUGUGAAGCCCAUUUCUGGUGUCCCCUGCCAUGAUAUUGCUGGAAUAUUGCUAAAAGCGGUGUAAAUCCAUACUCACUCACUCACGCAUCUUCAUCAUCCAUCAGUCCGGCCACACCCUCCUUCGUCCACCUUAUCAUCUCCGCCAUCUAUAAAUCCUUAAAAUAUUUCUCUGUCUAAAAGGAACCAAACACACAAAAAUGAAGCCACAAAUCAGUGUGACGUUAAUGACAAUAGCUUAACUAUAAUGACAAAUACAUGUAAUGCAUAAACUUCCACCUCUGAAAUACUUUACUAUCCCCACAUCUCCAUGGUCAGAAAAAGAUCAUAUAUAUUAUGUUAUUUGUGAUGAAAUACUAUAUUUAUCAGAAGAUAUGAAAACAAUCUUGAAGGAGAUUACAGUAAACUAUAAAUAUGUGAUAAAAUCAUUUAUAAAGCAUUUAAGACAAGUAUCUGGAAGACACUAAUUCGAAAGGCAAUAUUAGCGACAAAAAGUUUAUUUAACUUCUUUAAAUCUGCCUAAGUGGAAUUGUGGUUUUAAGAAUACGACCAUGAAGAUCAGAGGUAAUAAAUAAAACAUGUGUCUUUUCAUGUUGAUACAUAAGAAUAAUAUUUGACAAGAAAAGUCAAAUAUUCUCUUUCAUAUGCAUGAUCCAACCAUCUGACCCUUGUGUUUCAGCACCUAAAGGUAGACAUCUGGAUUCAGUACACGUGGUCCUCAGAGUGAUGGCGUUGUUUCACGUUCUUGGAGACAUCAUUCAUAAACUCAGUUCCACUACCUCUUGUCCUUUUAAUUCAUUUAAGUAACAAUAAUUAAAUUUUCGUUGUGUUCAUCGAAAUUCCUGCAUUCUGAUUGGCGGAAUUGGUCACGUGUUUUUGCAUUCAUUUAAUGAUUCAUACAGUUUCCACAUCGGUUUUUCGAUUCAUACCUAAAAAACCCGAACCAAAUACACAGUCAGUCCUAAAUACAACCCUGAUGGAUAAGAUAUAGCUCGUGACGGAUGUUACCCGCCUUACUCGACCUCGUAUUUCAUCUGAAGGCCGCCGUGAUAUUGCUGGAAUAUUGCUAAAAGCUGCGUAAAACCCAUCACUCACUCACUCAUUUGAAGGAUCGACCAUUUAAUUUUCAUACGUUAGGGGUGGUGGGGAAUUAAAGCCAUUCGCACAAUUAAAAUUCAUCACACACCAAUCUAACUGCAGUUAAGAAGAGUUUAUUAAUUCCACACUAAGAAUAAUUCAUUACCCGCAAUACUGGCUUACAUAAUAAUAACAAAGGGCAUCCUAGCAAUAAUGUCGGCAAAACAAUGGAAUUAUUAAAACACAAAGUCAUAGUCACCAGGGGUAUGAUUCUUAAAAAAGAGCAGCAAGAUACAUAUGGUUACUACCGGGGCCAUACAACUAUAUAUCCUUCAUAUAGCAUUAUGACCCCGGUAGUGACCACAUACAUGUAUAUCUUGCUGCCCAUUAUAAAGUUACAAGCCCAUCUGGUUUAACCUGCAUUAUAACCCUACGACAGGUUUAUUCUCUUGUUGGUUGUCUCUUCAAAACGUGUCAAACCCACUUUGUAGGUUUUCCCUCCUGAAGACCCUGGGACAUGGGUUUGCCAUUGAUACUUUUGUGGUGUUUCUUCAGAAUGUACCUCGUUGGAAAUAUACAAUGUAUUUAGGAGAUAAAUAUUCGUUUUGUAAGAUUUGCGUGAUGUUAUGCUGAAUGGAUGUACGGAAAUUUCAUUUGAACAAGACGCCGUAAUGGAUGUACGGAAAUUUCAUUUGAACACGACGCCGUAAGGUGGAAUGUUCAAAUGAAAAACUUCCGUACAUCCAUUCAGCAUAACAUCACGCAAAUCUUACAAAACGAAAUAUUUAUCGACAUUAUAACAUGAACGUUAAUUAAAUCGAUAUUUAGGAGGAACUAAUUUACUGAGCGCAUGACACAACAAAACUGUCGUUAGCAAUACGUCUCCUCGUGCUCACCUUCGAAAGGAUGCAUGAUAUGGGGUGCCGCGAAACCGAUGAAUGGUUUCGAGGUACUCCAAUAAUGAUGGUUCAUUUUACGAAAGGGGUGGCCACAUGUUCAAGCCCAUUUCUCAGAAAAUAAACAAACAACAGGAAAUAUCACAAAUUCAAUUCUUUAUCACAGUUCCUCAUCUUACUUGUAAUUUGUAGUUAUGCGUAUCUAUAAAAUACAAAUAAUCAAAAUUAGAAAAGACGUUCAUACUGUUUUGCCCCUAUACAAGACAGUGUCAACUCGCUGAGGUAGUGACAAGAGAGGUCAAACAUGUGCGAGAUUUUAGAUAUGCAGCUUAGCUGGGAUGGAAAAAGUUGUUUACUGUCACAGUGGAAUUACAUAUGUGAAAGAGACCAUGGGAAUUAGCAGAAGAAUUAACCUAGAAGUUAUUCACGGGAGCAGUGGACAGUGGCAGGAUAUUUGUAUCUUGGACAGGUACCAAAUUACGGUUGUUAGUGAGCUGCUGCUGUCCCUGAAGAAUGUUCAAAUAAUGUCGUUUUUGAGCCGAGCUCGAGUCAAUGGAAUACGACUUCAACGAUUUAUCGGUUUUGUGGCCGGUAAUUUUGCAAAUCUCGCGAUUUUCAAUGCCUGCGUUUGACAGCAAAGUAACAGCAGUUGCCCGAAGACAAUGGUUUGUAUGUGCACUUUGAGACCAGCGUUGGUAGAAAUUUCUUUCAUCAUGUUGCCAAUGACAUUUACACCAACUGGCCUCGUGGUGUACCAUUCGGUGUCGUCGACGUGGACUCGUCUCUUGGGAGCCUGGUAAAAAGCACCAUUGUUGGGAUUGAGGAGAGACAUGUAUUUUUUGAAUGAAAGUACGGGACAGAAUUGGUCCGAUGUUGCAUAAAUGCGUUUGUUGGGCCCAUUUGAGUCGAGUGUAAGGUCGAACCACACUUUACGAAGCAAGCCGGAAGGAGUUUCCGUAUCCAAACUUUCACGGAUUUUUAAAAAGUCAUUCUCGGGGAUAGCAGCAUGAUGUGUUGUCUGGUCAAGGCCAUCGCGCUUAAGUUUUUUUAUCAUGAACAGAAAAACAUUGUUUGCAGUGUGAAAUUCCCGGUCUUGGAUAAUGUUUAUGCUGCCCUCAAAUGGCGGUCCCCUGAUGUGCCUGUGUAUGGCAGCACGCAACCCAACAAAACUCGAUUUUGAGUAAAGAUCUCCCUCAGCAUUUCUGACUUCGGCAUAAAAGAACCUCAGUCUCUCAUUCAGUUGAGAAGCAGGAAGCUCUUCGAACUUGGGUUCAUGGCAAUGGUGUAAGGGAGGUAACUCUCGUUGAUCGAAUCUGUGUAGGAAUUUUAGGUAUGUGUUUAUGUAUUCUUUAAUGUUUCAAUGGCUUACGUCGAAAUAUUUUAACUCCCCAGGAGGUAUUACGCCAAGUAGAUUUGGAGAGGUUCCCAUCCACGAUGUCCUGUACUGCAUUUGCAUCAAGGGACGCGAAGCGGUCACUGGACGCUUGAACUUUGGGCUCUAAGGAAACGCUGGCUGUAUUUCCUAGUUCAGGGGCCAUCUCAGAACGGUUUUCAGCUUCAACAGCUGUUAUACGGACGGUGGCGAUCCCAUGGUGUCGUAUGCUGUGUCGUAAGCGGUGACUAUGUGGAUUGGGUGGUCACGAUGCCCCUGUAUCCUGGCGGCUUGGGACGUUGUUCAUAAUAUUAAUCAUUGGUUUUGUCCAUCCAUCUUUGGAAUCGAAACGUGAUUUUCCGUGUGCCGAGAGAACGCUAAUACUACUCUUAAAAAAACGUACACGGUGACCCAACGAUGUGCGUCGGUGAUACAUUACAGUGCACAUGUUAUAUAACAUGAGGUCAUAGCAUAGUCCAUCUGCUCAGGUGUCAACGACUGAUACAAUCAAGGAUUAUUCACUAAUGUGAAUCACACACCACACACAACAUACCCUUUACACGAGCAAACUUAAAAUAUUUUUUUAUCUUUUUCUUUAAAUACCACAAUCUGAUCUGGUAUGAUAAGACGUCAGAGGGUCGCCAGGGACAUGCCACGGUGACGUCAGCUGACAUAGCGGAGUUUGAUCUCAACAGUGAGUGAGUGAGUGAGUUGGGUUUAACGCUGCUUUUAACAGUAUUCCAGUUAUAUCGCGGUGUGUCAGCUUAAUGUCGGAGGAAAGCCCGAAGUGAUAUGCAGGUCUCAGACGUUUACCACUUCGGUGAAACCCACGAGCACGGGUAUGGUGCUGACAAACCUAGACACAUAAUCGGGGCGAACCGGGAUUCGAAUCCAAAAUUGGAUUUUUUGGGUUGCCCCAUAUCUUUAACUAUUUGGAAUGUCAUAAUGAUUAAGGAAUUGUCCUCUGUCGCUUUUAUUUACAAUAUUUUCGAAACGCCAGGGUUUAUGAAACAAUCUUUUGUAUCCCAGCAAUGUUGUCACUAAGGUUUACAGUCCCGUGAAGAUUCCGGGGUCUUCAGCAAACCAUGCUUGCCGUAAAAAGGUGACUAUGCUUGUCGUAAAAGGCGACUACCGGGAUCGGAUGGUUAGGCUCGCUGACUUGAUUCAGGUCAUCGAU